UACGUAGGGGGCGAGCGUUGUCCGAAUUCACUGGGCGUAAAGCGCGCGUAGGCGGGUUACUAAGUUGGGGGUGAAAUUCCGAGGCUCAACCUCGGAACUGCCUCCAAAACUGGUAGCCUAGAGGUAUGGAGAGGGAAGUGGAAUUCCUGGUGUAGCGGUGAAAUGCGUAGAUAUCAGGAGGAACACCCGUGGCGAAGGCGGCUUCCUGGCCAUAUCCUGACGCUGAGGUGCGAAAGCCAGGGGAGCGAACGGG
rnacentral:rRNA from 1 species